GAUGAACGCUGGCGGCGUGCUUAACACAUGCAAGUCGAACGGAAAGGCCCUGCUCUUGUGGGGUGCUCGAGUGGCGAACGGGUGAGUAACACGUGAGUAACCUGCCCUUGACUUUGGGAUAACUUCAGGAAACUGGGGCUAAUACCGGAUAGGAGCUCCUGCUGCAUGGUGGGGGUUGGAAAGUUUCGGCGGUUGGGGAUGGACUCGCGGCUUAUCAGCUUGUUGGUGGGGUAGUGGCUUACCAAGGCUUUGACGGGUAGCCGGCCUGAGAGGGUGACCGGCCACAUUAGGACUGAGAUACGGCCCAGACUCGUACGGGAGGCAGCAGUGGGGAAUAUUGCACAAUGAGCGGGAGCGUGAUGCAGCAACGCCGCGUGCGGGAUGACGGCCUUCGGGUGAUAAACCGCUUUGGCCUGAGACGAAGCGUGAGUGACGGUAAUGGGUAAAGAAGCACCGGCUAACUACGUG
rnacentral:rRNA from 1 species